rnacentral:lncRNA from 1 species
CAAAAAAGCCUGCUGCGCCUCGGGCAGAUGUGCCCAGCUGCUGGUGCUCCGCGCUGCAGCCCAGCGGCAUGCCCACGCGGGCCAUCCUCCGGAAGGGGAGGAUAGGGCCUCACUGAGGUACAGGAGACACAAGAAGAAAAUGGAUCUGAGUGUGGUUGUGCAAAAGUAGCCAUGAUUGACGUUAGUGGGUUUUAUUGAUGGCACUAUAGCUUUUAGUCAUUCAGUUCUGGCAGGUGAUCUGCCUAAGUGAAGUCUCCUAAGGGCUGUGAUAGGCUCUGAAACAUUAACACCUGUAGCUUGGAUGCACACUUGCAGUCUGUUUCUGUAGCCCUUUGGUCCUUUAAAAGCCAAAGACAGUAAACGGCUUGCCUAAAUCGAGAAUGCACCUCUCUGGGUUCCUGGAAAUUUCUGAGAAAAUUCAUUUGGUUUUAUAAAGACUUCCACAGUAAAAACUGUUCUGGGAAAGAAACUGCUGCUGUGCUGUUACUGGCCGAUGACAUGAUGUUGCAGGUGAGUAGUGCUGUGRCAUGAAGAGGCUUUUAAAUCUCUGCCCUUAUUUGAGCCUGUGCUGAGGCAAAUGAAAGCAGCCUCUCUGAAUAGGGAGCCCUGUGAAACACUUCUCCUUCUUUACAGSGAUCUAUAAAGAAGCAGCCUAAAAAUCUCUGGGGAGGCUUGGAGUUAAUGAAAAGGAGUGCAGCGGCAGUGCUACCUGGACUCAGUCCAAGUUGCAGUGGCCCGUGCAAGGUUACAGAGGAGUUCACCUGUGGUCGGUCUUAUGUUAGCGAAAGUAUUGUAUGCUCAUUGAAUCAAAGAUGUUCUUCUCGUCUGCACCACACCUAACAGUCUUGGAUUCCCACCUGUGCUGAGGAGUCGUAGCUGCUAAAGGAUGGACACAGACUCCAGGUACUAGAUGCUUCUGCUCAGCCACCUUGGGACCAGAACUAAGAAAAACAUUUUACUUACAGAUGAAAGCUCUUCCUUGCCUUUGUGAACUCUUUUCUCCCCCCAUGAGGGGGGUGCUCUGUACACUGUUUAAGUAUGCAUGAUUUCCUGACUGACGCAAACAGAAAAUCCUGACACUGCAUCAUCCCCCUCCCCUGGUUUCCUCAUCCUUGACUGAGGUUCAGUGUUGAUUUUUCUGCUUUUGACACUUUUCCCAUUCUUGCAUUUCACCUCCCGAUGCCCUGGGGAAGAGCCGUGGGUCUGGCCGCAGUUGGCCGAGGUCUGUUGUGCUGUGUAGUGUUUGCUGCUGUCUUGGGUGACUCUUAGGUGGACCUGCAGUUCUUCCAGGCACGUGUGUGAUCCAAGGCUCACAGCAGUACACGUGCAUCUCACCCUCUGUGGAUGGCCUGCUUGCGAUGGCCAUUUCCCAAAAGGUGCAAGGCACUGAAAGCUGUGGUAUUUGAAACCUGGCUGAAAGAUCUCCCAUCCAUAUCAAGCAGACCUUGUUUGAAUUUUCUGAAGAAGAAGCUUCUUUCUUUUAACUAGGAAUCUCUGAUUCUGGCUAUUUACAAAAUGGUCUGUCUCAAGUUUAUAUAGAUGUGGGUGGCUUAUGAUGGGCGUUGAUAACAGGCGUGGUAAUGAUCAGCAUCCUGUGCACCUCUGAGUCAGACARACUACAUGUGUGAGUCACUGUUGUUGUAUUGGUUCCAAAAUAGCUGAUAAACGUGUUAAMUGUUGUAAGAAAACUGGGAAUGCAGAAAAAGCAGGGGUUUGGGUACAUGGUGGUACUGUGAGUCAACAGCAGCUUUCCUCUGUGCUGUCAUAAACCAUAUAUUAUAGCUGGGCAUGAUGGRACAAGUCUAAGCCUGGGAUAUAACUGGCUUAUAGAAAAUUUUCCCUUGUACAGUAUGAUGGAAGCUAGUCAACAAAGAUUUCCAAAUCUGAGAAUAGAGAAUUACACUGCYGCAUCCAGAGAAAUGGAGAGUUACUGUGAGCAAUUUCUUAGUGGCUUGAGGGCUCAGCUCCAAGGGUGCUGGUCAGUGAGAAGUCUGCAAUGACUGGACAGUAAUGUAAUAUCCAUCCCGUGUUAGAAUCUGCAGCAGGUCUCAUUUUUAUUCUUGUGAUUACAGUUGCCAGGUUUUCCUGGUGCUCAGGGUAUGGUGCUCAUGGGAUAACUAUUACCUUAGAGACAAGGCAACUCAGUUGAAAUCAGGAGGUCCCCUGACUGCUGAUGCACAGUUCUGGGGAGACCAUGGGAAGAGCCACACUACUGUUCAGCCAAUGGAACAGGGCAAACCCAUCAUGUCAUUCCCUAGCUCCUGCAGCAUGCAAUUCCUGCAUAAAAUCUCUUCAUAAGCACAUGUGAGCUCUUUAGUGAGAAUGUUGAUUAAACUUUGGAAUAGAGCAGCCUACAGGAAUUGGGAAGCCGGUAAAGUUACAUCAUAGGAACUGUGCAGAGAGGAAAUAAAUGAAGGUUUGUUGAGUGAAAGGCCA